UUCUUGCACGUCAAUCUUUGUAAAUACAUCUGAUUUUUUUAUUGUAUAAAUCAUUUGAAUUGGAAUUUCUAAACCAAAUUCUAUGUUAAAGAUUUGCAAGAUAUUUCUUUCUUAAAAAAAAUAAUUCAGACAGAUUGAAAAUGAAAGAAGAGUUUAAGACACCAGAGACAUGAAAACAAAAAGAAACAGGGGUCACAAUCUUAGUAUCAGAAAAGAUAUCAUUCAGGACCAAAAGCAAUAAAUAGAGCAUAGAUGGGUACUUUGUAAUAUUAAAGGUGCAUAAUAAAGUUGUAAGAAGUGUGAAUAUCUAUGAAGCAAAUAACUUGGCAGAAAUAUUCAUAAAUCAUAAGCUUCAGAAAUUAAAGGAGAUAAAGGCAGAAAUACAUUGAUAAGAGAAAACUUUAAUUCAUUUCUCUCAGACAAUGACUGAGAAGUGGAUAAAACAAUAAGUGGAUAUGAAACACUGUAUCCUGGAAACAGAGAACAUUUCUACUUUCAACAAUCUAUAGAAUGGUCACAAAAACUGAUAAGUCAAAAAGAAAAACUCUUCAUGUUCUAAAGGCAGAAAUAGUAUAAGCACUGACCAUAAUGUGUUAAAACUUGAAAUUAAUAACAAACUCAGAAAUAUACAUGGAAAUUUAAACAUUUUCUCUUAACUAACUCCUGGGAAAAGAGAAACUCCAAAAUAAAUUUUAGACUGUCUUGAAAAAAAAGAAUAAAAAUACUCCAUGUCAGAAUCUGUGUGAUUAGGUAGAACUGCACUCAGAAGAAAAUGCAGUGAAUUCAAUACUUAUAUUAAUAAAAAAGAAUAAAAACAAAUCCACUAAAUAUCCAACAUGAGAAUUUAGAAAAGGAGGAACAAAUGAGCCAAAGAAAACCAGAACAAAACAACCAAUAAAGAAAAAUGCAGGAAGUAAUAAAUUAACAAACAGACAAAAAAUAGAACUAAUAAAUACAAAAGCCAGUUAUUUGGAAAAAUAAAAUAGGUAAGUCCAUAACAAAUGUAAUCAAGAAAAUAGGAGGAAGCACAAAUACCCAAACUAAGAAAUAAUAAGGGGGAAGUAAUUAUGUUUAUAGGAACAAUUAAAGGAAUCAUAAAACAUAAUUUUACUUAAUUUCGGUCAACUAAAUUUGAAAAUCCAGAUAAAUUAAAUAAUUUUCUAGGUAACUACAAUGUUUUAUAACAAAAUAGAUUCAAAUACAGAUAAAAUAUAUAAACAUUAAUUAAAUAGGAGAAAUAGAGACCAUUUUCAAAGAGCUAUCCCCAGUUCACUCCCAAAAAACACAAAGAUCAAAUGGUUUUGUGGUGAGUUUCUUACAAAUCUUCCAAGAAUAAAUAAUUCUGUAGUAUAGAAAAAGGAGAAAAACUUCAAUGUUUCCUCUUAUGAAGCAAGAAUUAAUACCAACAUUCAACAAAAAUUUCCCCCCAAAAUCUUUAAAGGUCAAUCUCCUUAUGAUUAUCAAUGCAAAAUAAUUCUAAAUAAAAUACUAGCAGACUUCAGCACCACAUUAAAAGAAAACUGCAUGCUAGCCAAGUAAGAUUUGCCCAGUCACGUAAGAAUUUUCAGUCUUAGGAAAACUAUUUCUGUAACUCACUACAGGAAUAGAUCGAAGAAGGGAAAAAUCACGUGAACAUCUCCAGAUUUUCUGGAAAUGCUCUUGGUAAGUUUCAAAGUCCAUUUGUGAUAUUAAAGAAUUUUAAUCAACUAGAAAUAGAUAAAUAUUUCCUUAACUAGUUAAAAUACAUGUAUCAUUAGGCGAAUAAAAAAAUGCUAAAAUCAUCCCCUCAUAUUUGGGAAUAAAACAAAUGUUUUCAUUGUCAUCACUAUUAUUUAACAUUUUUUACAGGUAUUAGACAACAAAAUUAGAGAUGAAAAAUAAGUUAGAUGUAUAAAAACUAGACAGUAAGAGAUAAAACUAAAUAUAGAUGGUAUAAUUUAUAGGUACCAGAAAAUAAACCUAAAAUUGGGUACAAACAAUGAGAGGAUUCAGUAAGAUGUCUGACCAUAAAGAAAACAAACAGAAAUUAACAGCCUUUAGACAAUAAAUAAGAACUAGGUAGUAUAAAAUAUAGUGAAAGUAAACACCUCAUUUAUAAUUUCAAUUUAAAAUUGAAAAUUAAAAUUAAAGACAAAAAAUAAAGUUAAACACCAAAUAAUUAGAAGUGAAAUUAACAACAAAUAUGUAAAAUCUCUAUGUAUAAAACUUGAAAAUUCUCUGAAGAGAAACCAGUAAAAAAUUUUUGAACUAGUAGAAAAGUCUAACUUGUCCUUGGAUAGAAGAGUCAACACCACAAAUAAAGAGAUCUCUGCUCCCUAGAUUAAUUAAUAAAUUUAAUGUGAUCUCACUAUAAUUUGAUGGAGAGCAAAAUAGGGGAAAAAAAUUAAUUUUUAUGAAUUUCAAAUUUUAAAAUGGACAUGCAGAAUAUAAAGCAAGUUUCUGGGGGAAACAAAAACAACAAAGAGUUAGUGAGAUAGGAUUAGUUCUACCAGACAUGUAAUCACAAAAACUGCAAUAACAAAAAAUUAUGGUGUGUCUGUGCAAUCAGAUCAAAAUAAUGGAAGUCCAGGAAAAGAAUAUACCAUGUAGAGAGAUUUCAUCUAUUAUAAAGGUGGUAUCUCAAAUCAAUGGAGAAGAAACUUUCUAUUAAAAGUUUUUAUUAAAAGUUAUUUGAAUAGCUGGUAAACCAUCUGAAAAGCAAGACAUGAAAUCAUACCUCUUACUUUACUAGGAUAAAUUCAAAAAACACCAAAGAUUUAAAUGUUUUUUAAAAAUAAACUUACAAAAUCACUACAAGAAACUAUGGGAUUUUUAGAAGAAAUAAUUUCAGAACAGGAAGACCUCUUUAAUUAAACAAAACUCAGAAGUCAAAAAAAUAUUGAUAAAUUUGACUAUAUAAAAAUCAGAAUUGUCUAUAUGGAAAAUGAAGUAUCAUAAAAAAAGGCAAAAGGCAAAGACAAACUUGGAAUACCAGGCAGAAGUGUUUUCACUGAUAAGUAAACAGCUCACAAAUCUAUUAUUUAAAAGCCCCAAAAAGGAUAUAAGAUAACUCACAGGAAAAAAGUCUAAAUUAAGCAUAGGAAAAGAUGCUCAACCUCACUCAUAACAAGAGCAUGGACUCUGGAGCCAAACUUUCUAAUCCUAGUUCUACCUCUUACUAGUUGUAUUACUGUGUGCAGGUUACUUAACUUCAGUGUGUCUCAGUUUUCAUGUCAAUAAAUUGAAGACCAUGGUAGAACCUACUUUUUAGAGUAAUUACACAUAUUGAAUGAGUUGAUAUUUAUACAGUGCUUAUAACAGUGCCUGCCACAUACUAAGAACCAUAUAAUUGUUAUAGAAAUUAACUAAAUAAAGGCAAAUUAAAAGUAUCUUGAUCUGCCAUUGUUUUGUCUAUCAGAUAUGGAAAGGUUAAAGCAUUGAUAAUGCAUUGUGUUGAUGAGGGUAUGGGGAAACAGACAUUCUCAUACAUCACUAAACUUCAUGGGAGGCAAUUUGGCCAUACACAUUAAAAUUACUGGUAUGCAUAUCUUGUGAACUAACAAUUUCACUUCUAGGAAUUUAUUGUACGUAUAUACUCACAUGUGAAUGAAAUGAGGCAAGUUCAGGAUAUUCAUUAUGGCAGCGUUUGUAAUAGCAAGUGCUUGGAAGCAAGCUAAAUAUUUACCAAUCAGGAAUGGGUUAAAUAAAUCAUUAGACAUCCACAUAAAAUGCUGCCCUAAAAAACUGAAGAAGCUUCUUUAAAAAAUUGAUAUGAACAAAAAUCAAUGUAUUUUAAGUGAAAAGAGCAAGACCAGAACAAUGUGUAUAGUAUGCUACCAUUUGUGUAAAAAGGAGGAAAAUAACAUCUAUUUGUGUUUGCUUAAAUAUCAUGAAACAUCUCCGGAAAGAUAUAAAAGAAAGUGAUUAACAUUGAUGGCUCUGGAGAAGGUAACUUCUGGUGCCUGAGGGACAUGGGUUAGAAGGAGACUAUUCCUUCUAUAAUUGCACUGGAUGCUGUGAUGUACCACCAGCUUCCUCUUCAGAUCAGAGGCACUCAUUUCCCCAGCUGCUGGAAGUAUCUAGUUCUCAGUUGAAUCCCUCUCUGGGAAAUGCACUCAGCUGGCCAGGGCAGCCUGCCUUAAUGAAGAUGAUGGAGAGAAGAAGUCACAGAAGAUGGCUUCCUUACCUCAAGGCAGGACAAAUCUGAAGCAACAUCUCAGCUCCUGGACUCCCCAUGGGUCAUGGGAUUGUGUUAUCAGCUGAAGCCUUUGUUUUUAACUGCAUCACUGUUCAGCUUUUUCCUUUGCCCAAUCCCAUUUCCUUCACUCCCCCACUGAUGGAGACACCCAGUCUUGCCCCAACAAACUUCCUACACACAAAUCUCCACCUAAGAGUCUGUUUCCCCACAGAACCCAACCUAGACGACACUUUUCUGAAGCUUUUGAAUUUUAAAUUUUUUCUUUUUUUGAUCAUUUAUAUAAAUGAACUAAUGAACAAAUUUUAAAUUUAAAAGAUUUUUAUGUUUCCCCCUUUAUUACUGAUGUUAAUUCUUGUUCUUUUCAAUAUGACAAUAAAGCUUCCAUUUUAUAAUUUGUCUUCUAAUUUUAUUCAUGGCUUUUUAUGUUAGGAAAUUUUUAUUUUUGGGUAGCACAUAUUUCAAACAGCCAUAUUUCUGAGCACUAAUUAUCUUCAAAAGCUAUACUGGGUACCGUGGAGUAUACAGAGAGAGAUAAAACUGGAUCAUUGCCCUCAAGGCAAUAGAAAGGACAUAAUGUGGGUACAACAGAAAGAGAAUGGGCCCUAGAGUCACUUUCCCGGGGUAAUAUCUCUGUUCAGAUUCAUGUUAGCAGCAUCCUUAGCCAAUUUACUUAACCUCUCAGAGACUCAAUUGCCUUAUCUGUAAAAUACAGAUAAAAUACCUACUUCUCAAUCUUAUCGUUAAAAUAUGGUGACUUUAAAACACCUAAUGUAGUCCCCAGACUCUAGCAACUGCUUGAUGUGUUUUAAAAAAAAAAAUAGUUGGGGAGGAAAUACACAUCACAUGAAAAUAUAGGCAGGAAAGGCUUAGCGCUAAAUUGAUAGCAUAGAUGAUCAUUACUGCAGAAUUCAGAGGAAGGAGAUCAUCUCUAGGGGAAUGUGGUCAUAACAUAUUGAUUGAAGAAAUGAGAACUGAAGCUAAAUCCUGAAAGGUAAGUAGUCUGUGGAGAAGAGCGGGGGCAUCAUCCCAGGGAGGGAGAGCAAUGGUGUGGACACAAGAGUGAGCUGAAAAUGUUUGGAUACAGGCAAGAGGCCACCUGGAGUGGAGGAGGGAGAGUUGGAAAGAUAAAUUGUGGUCAGAUUGGAGAGGGCAUUAAAUGCCAGGCUAAUGAGCUUGGGUUUUGCUCAUAGGAAGCCUCUUUAGAUUUAUGAGCAGGGAAAUAGUGUGAUGGAAGUAGUGUUUCAGAUUGAUGACAUUUUGGCAGCUAGCCAUAUAGAUUGGGGUCAGCAAGAGAGGCCAGAAGGUCAGAGACUGGCUUUAGCUGUAGGCCAAGCAUUAGCUAAUAAGGGCAUCUUCUAGGGUGCUGGCAGUGGACAGAGAAUGGAAUGGGGGAGAAAGCUGUGAGAAUCAUGAAGAAAGAACUGAAAAGACAAUUGAUUAGAUAAUGCUAAAUGGUGACGACAAGGGAGUCUUGAGAGAUGAUGUCUACAUUUUAAGCCAUGAUUGGAUGAGUAAUAGUACCAUUGAAGAAUGCUCUAGCAAUUUGGGGAAAAUAUGAUUCACGUAUAUUGACUCAUACUGAAUUUGAAGUGAAGAUGAGGUAAUCCAGUGGCAAAGUCCACCAUGCAGUUAGAAAUCCAGGCCAGAUGUCAGGAGGGAAAAUGAGGCUGGAGCUAUAGAACUAAGAUUCACUGGCAGAUGACACAAGUGAGGGGUAAGGUGAGAGACUUUAUAUCAACGGUUGCAAAGUCUCAAUGACUAAAAUUUGGGCCAUGCUUACAUUUAUUAAGAGAGGAAAAUGGAGCCGGUGAUGAAGACAGAAAGAAAGGUCAGAGAGAAUGGAUAAGAACCACAAUAGUAUGCUGCUAUGAGAGCCAAAGGAGAAUAAAGGGUCAAAAAGAAGAUGGGGACAGAAGACCAACCCUAUGAGAUACUGCAGAAAGGUCGAUGAGAAUGAGAAAUGCAUAAUGUCAAUGGGUUCAGCUCGUACAAGGUCAGCGCACCUCCUGCUUAUGGAUUCCGAACGCUGGAAGGGCUGAUUGCAGAACAAGAGUGAAAAGCAGUACAAGAUAGUGAUGUAAACUGUGGGCCCUGAGAUCAGACUACCUGGUUUUCAAUCCUAUCUCCGCUACAAGCUUGCUGUGUGAUCUUGUGCAAGUUGCUUAACUCCUUUAUGCCUCCAUUUCCCCAUCUUUAAAAUGGAGAUAAUAUUGGUAAUAACAGUCUCUGCCUCACAGGGGUACUGAGAAGCUAAAGGACGAUGUAUGUAAACUGCUCAAUACAGCAUAGACACAGAGAAGGUACUCAAAUGAUAUUUAUAAUCUCUUGUUAUUAGCAUUGCUAUUACUGGAAGUGGAUACUGGGUGGCAUUUGGGCAAGGGGCUUGAUAGAAAAAAGCAAAAGGAAACUAACAGGAUAGCUUGGGAAAUUUUCCCAGGCACAGGUGUGUGCAUAUCUGCAGGCAACUGGGAAGGGGAGCCAAGGCAGGAGUAGAAAUUGAAGGUGCCAGGGGAGAGGAAAUGUAAAGAAGCAACGUCACUGAAGGGAAGAAGAGAGGAGUGGGGCUUUAAGAAUUCACGUUGACUAGUUAGCCUUGGAAAGAAGGGCCAGACACCAACUGAGAUUGAAAAAAAGAAAAGGAUUUACAAGGAGAUGGAAUUUUGAAGAGGCUAGAGGGAGAACAAGAAAACACACACCUGAGGACUUUUUUCCUCCCAGUAAAGGAAGGAAGGAGGCCAUUCGCCAAAAGUGAGAAGAGGAGAGUGGGACAGAGGUCUCUAUAAGUGUAUGCAAUGUGUCAUAACCAAUUCUACUUUCUUCAAGUUUAAAACUUCCUUCAGACUUUUUUUUACCCUGUAAUGGCUCCAAGUUGAAAGUAAAGAACAAAGAAGAGUUAAAAACAAUUAGGAAAUAUUGUAGGAUUAGCCUAGUGCCACCCAGCAGCAUUGAUACAGGAGCCGGCAGGGGAAACAAACUUCAACCUAAAUCAGCUUGCCUUCCUUUAGGAGGCAAACCAAGGAGAGCUGACUACAGCAGAGGCCACAGCUCAAUCAAAGACCUAAGUGAACCACACCAAUACCUUUCAUUGAAUGGUUUGAACAAUAAGCCAACAGCCUGGAAACUCUGACUUCUCCAGGUCUCUUCAAGGUCCUUUUAGAUCUGUUGUUUUAGAAAGCUGUCCCUUUGCACCUAGAAUAACCUUUGGUACUGGGUGGUCUUCCAGGUUUAAUUUCUUUAUAGAACCACAAAUCAUCAAAAGUAAGUGGCCCUCUCAGUAAAAAAUCAUUUUCACCAAAGUGCGUAUCUAGUAUGAAUAGGCCAACUAUACCUAGUGGUCUGGUCCUUUGUUUCCCAGAUGGAUCCUGGACAAUUGGAAGGCAGCAUACGGUAAUUCUCAGGAAUGGUGCUGGUAGAGCCAAAAUGUCAUCCAUAUACGCCUUCCUGUGCCUUCUGCGUUCUCUCUAUGCAACGAUUUCUCCUGGUGCAAUAGCUUCAAAUACUAACCCAGUGUGGAGGGAAGACUUUGCCCUGCAGGGCUACAAGCCUGUUUGAUCCCAAGGGAAUAGGGACAUUUCAGAUGCUUUAAACAAGCAGAGGGAAAAAUCUGAUGAAGAUUAAGUGCUGUGUGCCAUAGUUCGUUACUCAGAGCAGCUUUGAGGCUGCCAGGCCAUUAGACUUGCUUCUGUUUUUGCCAUCAAUAUCACUCUUGAGAUGGCUUAUUUGUAAAAGGAGCAGGAUCUAGGAUAUGCAUUCAUUUGUAAAAGAUGCCACCAUACACAUUCUGCAGUUAAUACCGUGUUCAUGAACUUUACCUGUGACUAAAUACAUUUCAUUUCUUACAGCUGAGCUUCAGUAAUUGGUUUUUGCAGGCACAAACACAUCCAGCAAGGAAAAUAUGUGAAGCCCAGCUCUCUCCCAGUUUUUUGAAAUGGCUUUUGCUGCAGGUGGAAAAAGCCGUCCCAGCUCUGAGUUGGCAGUUCCCGAGGUCAAAUCUUAGAGAGCUGGCACCUGGGAACUCAAAGCUUUCAGGAAGAAGGCAGCAACGAUACUUUCCAAGAACCAUCAAGGAUGUCCUGGACAAAGCUACAGAAACAAGUCAAAUGUGAACAGAUCUGGUACCAGUGUUCAACUUGAUGGGUCCAUUCAACAGCCUGUCCAACAUUCAGGACUGACUCUGGAAGAAUCACAGUUUACUCCAGUUCCAUGUUCGUGAUUGAGAUUGUGGAUGAGAAAGCAGAUGUCUAGCUUCAGUUCCAUCUUUGUGGGAUUCCAGCAAGACGCCUUGAACAGAUAAGCAGGUUUGUGGUGGAGUAUGUCCAGUUUAGAAUUUUUUCUUUCCCUACUCUUUCAGUCAAAACUGAAAAUCUUGACCUUUUAUGUUCCUUUUUGUGAAAAGGAGAGCUUCACUGGCAAGGUAUUUUGUAUUUCCUACAGUUCUAUAUAUAUGUUUCUUUUUAUGAAUCAAAGAUUCCUGGCACUCAGUUUGGGUGCUAUUAUAAAAAUAAUUCUUGGCUACACACUUUGUAAUAUAAGUAAAAAGAAAGUAUAUAUCCACCAAUAUACAUAGACCUGGUUCCACACAAGGAUUACAGAAAUACAAAAGGAGUGAAUGAAGGUCCUCAUUUAGGAUCGUCACAGAGACAAAGGGCUUAAUGCCCUCACUAGGGAACAACGUUUCACUAGCACCUAGUUAGUUUGACCAUUUGAUGGAGUUUAGAAAUGUGCUAUUUAUGUGUUGAAUUUUCAGAAAAAUUAAUAUACUUGGAAAUAUAUGUUUCAUUUCUGAGUUGUGGGCUUUUCUGGUUUUCAUUAUGGAUUGUUUUUUAUGACUAGUUUUUAGCAGUAAAAAAGCAUCCUGUGCAGCUAUACCAUGUAAAUAGCACCAAGAGAAAAAUACGGAGUAAAGAAAUUCUUCAAAGAACCAUUCAAAUGGAUCCAGGGCAUUUUAUGGUCAAGAAAAAAAUUCAACUUCCCUCCUGUGAUACCCAAUGGCAUAAGUGCUUGCUAAGUUUACCGUAAAAGACAAACAUAUACUUAAUUUUUAAAGACAUGGCUCUUCUCCAGAAGCACUUCCAAAUUACAGCACACUAGGGCUCUUACAUCCUGUCCCCGUUCAAUCAAAGACAAGCAUUUAUCUGAGAUGUUUUCCAAAUUUUUACCCAAAUUAUUCAUUUUCACUUCCCUGAAGGCAUUUGGUGACAGAGAAAUGUAAUGUUCAUUCACAUCAACCAUUUUAAAAACAUUUAAGGAGACAACGUGAAGUCGUCUAUUUCCCAUAUCAGUGCUACCAACUAAUGACAACUCUCCGGAUUCUCACUUCAGAAGAGAAAACAUUUGGUUCAUUUUGUGAAGGAAACAAACCGAGACCUUGCCACAUCUGUUUCGUCUUUUAUUCCUUAAAGCUUGCAGGGACCAAGGGUGAGGGUGCUUUGCUAAAUGAGACAACUCUGGGGGUGCUCAAAAAAAUUUCAUUUCUUGAUGGGGAAGCCAGACAAACCUUCCUGAUCAUGAACAGCCUACUUUAGACCAAGAAUAAACGCUUUUUAUUUAAAAAAAAAAAAAAAAAAAAGCUCUUCUCACUCUUCCUAUAUUAGUGGAAUAUACAACCCAGUGAAUUCAAUUAUUUUUAAUAUGAACGCCUUUAUCCUCCACCAAACACACACCACUUUCUUUUUGUUCACUCAACUCUUUUUUUCCAGUUUUACUGAGAAAUAAUUGAAAGACAUCACUGUAUAAGGGUUAAGGUGUACAGCAUGAUGGUUUGAUUUACAUAGAUUGUGAAAUGAUUACCACAGUAGAUUCAGCUAACAUCAUCUUCCCAUAUAGAUACAAUAAAAAGAAAAGAAAAAAAUUCCCCUUGUGAUGAGCGCUCUUAGGAUUUAGUCUCUUAACUACUUUCCUGUAUAUCAGAAAGCAGUGUUAACUACAGUCCUCAAGUUGUACAUUACAUCCCAAGUGCUUAUUUUUCUUAUAACCGGAAGUUUGUACCUUUCGACCACCUUCCUCUAAUUCCUCCUCCCCUCAUUCCUUACCUCUGGUAACCGCAAAUCCAACCUCUUAUCUCUUUUUCUACGAGUUUGGUGUUUUUGUUUUUGUUUUAGAUUCCACAUAAAAGUGAGGUUGUACAGUAUU